GUUGUAUGGUUAAGUGACUAAGCGUACACGGUGGAUGCCUUGGCAGUCAGAGGCGAUGAAAGACGUAGUAACUUGCGAUAAGCCCAGAUUAGGUAGUAACAACCAUUUGAGUCUGGGAUUUCUGAAUGGGGAAACCCACGUGCAUAAGCACGUAUCCUUACCUGAAUACAUAGGGUAAGGAGGCGAACCGGGGGAACUGAAACAUCUAAGUACCCCGAGGAAAAGAAAUCAACCGAGAUUCCGAAAGUAGCGGCGAGCGAAAUUGGACUAGCCCUUAAGCUUUACACGCGUUAGACGAACGGUCUGGAAAGUCCGACGAUACAGGGUGAUAGUCCCGUAGUUGACGACGUGUGUUCAGUGAAAUCGAGUAGGGCGGGACACGUGAUAUCCUGUCUGAAUAUGGGGGGACCAUCCUCCAAGGCUAAAUACUACUGACUGACCGAUAGUGAACCAGUACCGUGAGGGAAAGGCGAAAAGAACCCCUGUGAGGGGAGUGAAAUAGAACCUGAAACCGUGUACGUACAAGCAGUAGGAGCAGGCUUUGUCCUGUGACUGCGUACCUUUUGUAUAAUGGGUCAGCGACUUAUAUUCAGUGGCAAGGUUAACCAUCUAGGGGAGCCGUAGGGAAACCGAGUCUUAACUGGGCGUUCAGUCUCUGGAUAUAGACCCGAAACCAGGUGAUCUAGCCAUGGGCAGGUUGAAGGUUGAGUAACAUCAACUGGAGGACCGAACCGACUAAUGUUGAAAAAUUAGCGGAUGACUUGUGGCUAGGGGUGAAAGGCCAAUCAAACCUGGAGAUAGCUGGUUCUCCCCGAAAGCUAUUUAGGUAGCGCCUCGGACGAAUACUACUGGGGGUAGAGCACUGUUAAGGCUAGGGGGUCAUCCCGACUUACCAACCCUUUGCAAACUCCGAAUACCAGUAAGUACUAUCCGGGAGACACACGGCGGGUGCUAACGUCCGUCGUGGAGAGGGAAACAACCCAGACCGCCAGCUAAGGUCCCAAAUUACUACUAAGUGGGAAACGAUGUGGGAAGGCUCAGACAGCCAGGAUGUUGGCUUAGAAGCAGCCAUCAUUUAAAGAAAGCGUAAUAGCUCACUGGUCGAGUCGGCCUGCGCGGAAGAUGUAACGGGGCUAAGUAGUAAACCGAAGCUGCGGCAAUGUGCUUUUGCACAUUGGGUAGGGGAGCGUUCUGUAAGCGGUUGAAGGUGUGUGGUAACGCAUGCUGGACGUAUCAGAAGUGCGAAUGCUGACAUGAGUAACGAUAAAGGGGGUGAAAAACCUCCUCGCCGGAAGACCAAGGGUUCCUGUCCAACGUUAAUCGGGGCAGGGUAAGUCGACCCCUAAGGCGAGGCCGAAAGGCGUAGUCGAUGGGAAACGGGUUAAUAUUCCCGUACUUCUUACAAUUGCGAUGGGGGGACGGAGAAGGCUAGGUGGGCCUGGCGACGGUUGUCCAGGUUCAAGUGCGUAGGCUUAAGAGUUAGGUAAAUCCGGCUCUUUUUAAGGCUGAGACACGACGUCGAGCAUCUACGGAUGUGAAGUCAUUGAUGCCAUGCUUCCAGGAAAAGCCUCUAAGCUUCAGAUUGUAAGGAAUCGUACCCCAAACCGACACAGGUGGUCGGGUAGAGAAUACCAAGGCGCUUGAGAGAACUCGGGUGAAGGAACUAGGCAAAAUGGUACCGUAACUUCGGGAGAAGGUACGCUCUCGACGGUGAAGUCCCUCGCGGAUGGAGCUAUUGAGAGUCGCAGAUACCAGGUGGCUGCAACUGUUUAUUAAAAACACAGCACUGUGCAAAAUCGUAAGAUGACGUAUACGGUGUGACGCCUGCCCGGUGCCGGAAGGUUAAUUGAUGGGGUUAGACUUCGGUCGAAGCUCUUGAUCGAAGCCCCGGUAAACGGCGGCCGUAACUAUAACGGUCCUAAGGUAGCGAAAUUCCUUGUCGGGUAAGUUCCGACCUGCACGAAUGGCGUAAUGAUGGCCACGCUGUCUCCACCCGAGACUCAGUGAAAUUGAAAUCGCUGUGAAGAUGCAGUGUACCCGCGGCUAGACGGAAAGACCCCGUGAACCUUUACUACAACUUGGCACUGAACAUUGACCCUACAUGUGUAGGAUAGGUGGGAGGCUUUGAAGCACGUACGCCAGUAUGUGUGGAGCCGUCCUUGAAAUACCACCCUUGUAGUGUUGAUGUUCUAACGUCGACCCCUUAUCGGGGUUGCGGACAGUGCCUGGUGGGUAGUUUGACUGGGGCGGUCUCCUCCCAAAGAGUAACGGAGGAGCACGAAGGUGGGCUAAUCACGGUUGGACAUCGUGAGGUUAGUGCAAUGGCAUAAGCCCGCUUGACUGCGAGAAUGACAAUUCGAGCAGGUGCGAAAGCAGGUCAUAGUGAUCCGGUGGUUCUGAAUGGAAGGGCCAUCGCUCAACGGAUAAAAGGUACUCCGGGGAUAACAGGCUGAUACCGCCCAAGAGUUCAUAUCGACGGCGGUGUUUGGCACCUCGAUGUCGGCUCAUCACAUCCUGGGGCUGAAGUCGGUCCCAAGGGUAUGGCUGUUCGCCAUUUAAAGUGGUACGCGAGCUGGGUUUAGAACGUCGUGAGACAGUUCGGUCCCUAUCUGCCGUGGGCGUUGGAAGAUUGAAGGGGGCUGCUCCUAGUACGAGAGGACCGGAGUGGACGAACCUCUGGUGUUCGGGUUGUGUCGCCAGACGCAUUGCCCGGUAGCUAAGUUCGGAAUCGAUAACCGCUGAAAGCAUCUAAGCGGGAAGCGAGCCCUGAGAUGAGUCUUCCCUGAUACUUUAAGUAUCCUAAAGGGUUGUCGGAGACUACGACGUUGAUAGGUCAGGUGUGUAAGUGCUGUGAGGCAUUGAGCUAACUGAUACUAAUUGCCCGUGAGGCUUAACCAUACAACACCUAAGGGGUUU
rnacentral:rRNA from 1 species